rnacentral:rRNA from 1 species
UCCUGGCUCAGGAUGAACGCUGGCGGCGUGCCUAACACAUGCAAGUCGAGCGAGAUGCUGAUGAUUGAAACUCGGUAGAUGAUCAGCGGAAAGCGGCGGACGGGUGAGUAACGCGUAGGCAACCUGCCCCUUACACAGGGAUAGCCAUUGGAAACGAUGAUUAAAACCUGAUGACACCUUGAGAUGACAUCUUCUUAAGGUCAAAGAUUUAUCGGUAAGGGAUGGGCCUGCGUCUGAUUAGAUAGUUGGUGAGGUAACGGCCCACCAAGUCAACGAUCAGUAGCCGACCUGAGAGGGUGAUCGGCCACAUUGGAACUGAGACACGGUCCAAACUCCUACGGGAGGCAGCAGUGGGGAAUAUUGCACAAUGGGGGAAACCCUGAUGCAGCAACGCCGCGUGAAGGAAGAAGGUCUUCGGAUCGUAAACUUCUGUCCUAGAGGAAGAUAAUGACGGUACUCUUGGAGGAAGCCCCGGCUAACUACGUGCCAGCCGCGGC